rnacentral:rRNA from 1 species
CCAAGGAAGAAGCCACGGCUAAUACGUGAACAACAGCCGCGGUAAUACGGAGGUGGAAAGGGUUGUCCGGAAAUAAUGGGUUUAAAGAGUAUGUAUGGUGUAUAUUUAAGUCACAUGUGUAAUCGCCACGGGGUUAACCUGGGGKAAUAGCAUUUCAAACUGGAUGUUUGGAGUGCAGGAGAGGAAAGUGGAAUUCCUAGUGUAGCGGUKAAAUGYGUAGAUAUUAGGAAGAACACCAGUGGCGAAGGCGAUUUUCUGGAUUGUWACUGACGCUGAGAUACGAAAGCGUGGGGUUUGAACAGGAUUAGAUACCCUGGUAGUCCACGCCGUAAAAGAUGAAUAAUAGGUGUCAGGUUUUUCAUUUUUGGUGCUGCAUAACGCAUUAAGUAUUCC